GAUGAACGCUGGCGGCGUGCCUAAUACAUGCAAGUCGAGCGAACAGACGAGGAGCUUGCUCCUCUGACGUUAGCGGCGGACGGGUGAGUAACACGUGGAUAACCUACCUAUAAGACUGGGAUAACUUCGGGAAACCGGAGCUAAUACCGGAUAAUAUAUUGAACCGCAUGGUUCAAUAGUGAAAGACGGUUUUGCUGUCACUUAUAGAUGGAUCCGCGCCGCAUUAGCUAGUUGGUAAGGUAACGGCUUACCAAGGCAACGAUGCGUAGCCGACCUGAGAGGGUGAUCGGCCACACUGGAACUGAGACACGGUCCAGACUCCUACGGGAGGCAGCAGUAGGGAAUCUUCCGCAAUGGGCGAAAGCUUGACGGAGCAACGCCGCGUGAGUGAUGAAGGUCUUCGGAUCGUAAAACUCUGUUAUUAGGGAAGAACAAAUGUGUAAGUGACUAUGCACGUCUUGACGGUACCUAAUCAGAAAGCCACGGCUAACUACGUG
rnacentral:rRNA from 1 species